GCGCUCGCUUCGGCAGCACAUAUACUAAAAUUGGAAUGAUACAGUGAAAGAUUAGCAUGACCCCUGUGCAAAGGUAAACCAUACAUUUGUGACACGUUCCAUAUUUUA